rnacentral:snoRNA from 1 species
GUGCACAUUUCAUUGUCUUUUUUCUUCAUGUCAAGAAAAAGGAUAUUUCUGGUGUGCUAGAUAAACUUUGGAGGUAAAUUAGCAGUGUGGCUCCUUUAGCCAUUGCUGUCAGUCACCUUCAGACAGUG